AGAGUUUGAUCCUGGCUCAGGAUGAACGCUAGCGGCAGGCCUAACACAUGCAAGUCGAACGGUAACAUGGAUUGCUUGCAAUCUGAUGACGAGUGGCGCACGGGUGCGUAACGCGUAUAGAACCUACCCUUUACAGGGGGAUAGCCCGGAGAAAUUCGGAUUAAUACCCCAUAGUACUACGAAGAGGCAUCUUUUUGUGGUUAAAGUAUUUACGGUAAAGGAUGGCUAUGCGUCCUAUUAGUUAGUAGGUGAGGUAACGGCUCACCUAGACUUCGAUAGGUAGGGGCCCUGAGAGGGGGAUCCCCCACACUGGUACUGAGACACGGACCAGACUCCUACGGGAGGCAGCAGUGAGGAAUAUUGGACAAUGGUCGUAAGACUGAUCCAGCCAUGCCGCGUGCAGGAAGACUGCCCUAUGGGUUGUAAACUGCUUUUUUACGGGAAGAAUAAUACCCACGUGUGGGUAGAUGACGGUACCGUAGGAAUAAGGACCGGCUAACUCCGUGCCAGCAGCCGCGGUAAUACGGAGGGUCCGAGCGUUAUCCGGAAUUAUUGGGUUUAAAGGGUCCGCAGGCGGGCCAGUAAGUCAGGGGUGAAAGUUUGCGGCUUAACCGUAAAAUUGCCUUUGAUACUGCUGGUCUUGAGUUGCGGUGAAGUGGCCGGAAUAUGUGGUGUAGCGGUGAAAUGCAUAGAUAUCACAUAGAACACCGGUUGCGAAGGCAGGUCACUAACCGCCGACUGACGCUGAUGGACGAAAGCGUGGGGAGCGAACGGGAUUAGAUACCCCGGUAGUCCACGCCGUAAACGAUGGACACUAGCUGUCGGGCCUUUUUUGGUUCGGCGGCCCAGCGAAAGUGAUAAGUGUCCCACCUGGGGAGUACGUCGGCAACGAUGAAACUCAAAGGAAUUGACGGGGGCCCGCACAAGCGGUGGAGCAUGUGGUUUAAUUCGAUGAUACGCUAGGAACCUUACCAGGGCUUAAAUGUAGUGUGACAGGGGUAGAGAUACCUUUUUCUUCGGACACAUUACAAGGUGCUGCAUGGUUGUCGUCAGCUCGUGCCGUGAGGUGUCAGGUUAAGUCCUAUAACGAGCGCAACCCCUACCGUUAGUUGCCAGCAUGUAAAGAUGGGGACUCUAACGGACUGCCGGUGCAAACCGAGAGGAAGGUGGGGAUGACGUCAAAUCAUCACGGCCCUUACGUCCU
rnacentral:rRNA from 1 species